UACGUAGGGGGCUAGCGUUGUCCGGAAUCAUUGGGCGAAAGAGCGUGUAGGCGGCCCGGUAAGUCUGCUGUAAAAGUCAAAGGCUCAACCUUUGAAUGUCAGUGGAUACUGCCGGGCUAGAGUCCGGAAGAGGCGAGUGGAACUCCUGGUGUAGCGGUGGAAUGCGCAGAUAUCAGGAAGAACACCAACGGCGAAGGCAGCUCGCUAGGACGGUACUGACGCUGAGACGCGAAAGCGUGGGGAGCGAACAGG
rnacentral:rRNA from 1 species